rfam:Neonectria ditissima strain R09/05 contig_137, whole genome shotgun sequence.
AUAUACGGCCAUAGCCCUUAGAAAGUACGGGAUCCCGUCCGCUCUCCCACAGUCAAACUGAGGAGCGCCUGAGUAGUAGUUGGGUCGGUGACGACCAGCGAAUGCCAGGUGUUGUAUAUU